GAGUCUGCUUCAGAUUCUGUAUCUCACUCUCUCUCUGCCCCUCCUCUCUCUCUCAAAAAUAAAUAAAUAUUUUAAAAAUUUUUUUAAAUAAUAAAUCAGGAACUGUCUUUCAAAAGUAUCUUUCAAAAGCAUACUUUCAAAAAGUAUAUAAAGUGAGAAUUCUCAAACCUUAAAAACAUUACUUGUUAUCUUAACAAAACUCGUGCUAUGGGCAAGCAAAAAACCUUCAGUAUUUUUCAGAGUAAUAGUCCUAUGAGGUUAUCCCUUAAGUAGUUUUAACCGAUCACAAUGAUUUAUGUCUUUAAUUCAUCGAUCCAUAAUUGAAACACUUUAUUCAAACAUCAUCUAGACUAGUUUUUAUCUCCCAAUGUGCUACACAUCUAUGUCUAUGUUCAGUAUUUUCUGAAAAUGGUCAUUUUUAUUUUUAUUUCAUUUGAUUGAACAGUCCCCAGCAUUCAUAUGAAGGGAGGUUGAUGGGGCUGGGUCUGUUGUCCAGAAUAGCUACCGUGACUUUUCUAUGUGGCUUGGGCUUUCUCACAGUCCUAGGAGUGAGCCUUCUAAGAGAAUGGAAGGAAGCCAUAUCACUUUUAUGACCAAAAUGUCACUUGUACAGUAGCCACAAGCAACCGGGAUGCUUAAGGAAGGAGCUUAGAACCCAUCAUUCAAUAGGAGGGUCACAGUAAGAUUGUAAGAAGAACACGGGGGAUUGGGGAUAACGCACCCAUUCUGGGACAGCACAACCUACUACUGUUCCAUAGUUUGUAGCCUUGCAGAGUUAAGAAAGCCAACUGCUACCCUACUUCAAACAGAAGGCAUUAUAAGUACAGGCUUAGGAGAGAAAAUCAGUGCUACUUUCAUAAAAGAGCAGAAAGCUUCUGGUGUGAUCGAAUUUGCCAUUUUCUCAAAUUUCCUCACAGCAGGAGCCAUCUGAAAAGGUAGCACAGAAGCCAGUGGGGAAAAGGUCAGAAUUGUCACAUGUAAAAAGUAUGUCUUCACAAGAUCUUUGGCUGUUGUUUCUGAUGUGUGGAAAUGACUGGAAGCAAACAGACAGCAGGCUUGCAAAAUCUAGAUAGAAUAAAGUGGUCAAAGGUGCCCUAAACCUGGCCUGUAAAAGCUUUUAUUUAGGUGCUAGAAUAAUCUCAGUGCACUCAAACUGCCACCAAAAUAAGUGGGUUUCAAAAGCUGGGCAAACUCCUAGAAGUGCAUCCAUUAUAAUCCUCACCUCGGAGAGGAAAGACCGAGGUCCACAGAGGACAAUGCACAAGGAAGAUGCUCCCAGAAAGCAGACUCGGGAGUUGCCAGCUUGUGUAACCCAUGAGCUUCCCCUGUGCUAAGGCCCAGAGUCCUCACCACGUCUGCCAGGCAGAAUUUGAUGAUAGCUAUGGACCGGUGACCACCACAUGUUUCCCAUCGUCCCCUUUCCUGAAUGGUAGUUUUUGUUUAUUACGUUUACCUGUUCCUUCUCCACUGCUGCAUAUUGAGUGGUUAGAGGCAGAUGACAUCUUUCUUCCUGCCUGGAAUGUGGUCACUCUAUUGGGAAGAAAAGAGCCACCAAGUGUGACCGCCAUGAGAAGCAGAAAGACAAAAGGAGUUUGAACCCUGGGGGGUUAUUAAAGCCAUGCAUAUACUCUGCAUUCUCAACUCCUGAACUUCUUAUUAGGAGGUGGAGUCUUUGGAGGUGAUGAGGUCAUGAGUGUGGAGCCCUUCUAGAAGAGAUCCCACAGCGCUCUCUAGUCCCUCCUGCCAUGUGAAGAUACAGUAAGAAGUCUGCAAGCUGACCAGGUGCCGGCACCCUGAAACCGGACUUCCAACCUCCAGAACGGAAACCUUCUCUCUGGCCCUCUUCCCCCACCACCUCACCACGACAUAGAGAAAAAGUCGAGAACUGCGAAUCUAUAGUUUGGAAGGAGAAUGCUAAAAAAUAUUCUUUUUUGGAGAUCCUUCAUCAAGAAACACGGGAACCACAAUUCUAUAAUCAUAUAUUGAUUGGAACUGGACCGCUCCUUAGAAGUAUGUUUUCGAGGCCAGAAGCACUAAGCUAGCCCACAGUGUCGGAGACUUUAAUCCCUGGUAUUUUGAUGUCCUAUUUCUUUACAGCUUGAUUUCAGUUAAUGCCUUUCUCUCUUUUAUUUUCCCUUUCACCACCUACAGAUAUGGAAUAUGUCCCAGCAUAGUUUCCUUCACCAACUGUCAAGCUAUAGAGGAAGGUAUUCCAUUAAGGGGUUAUAACUAUAGUCAAGAGUAGCAAAAAACAGGAAGAAUAGGAAAGUGGAGGAACAGCCCCAAGUAAUAGGGGUUAUCUGGACCAACAGUGGCUAAUGACCAUGAUGUUCAUUGCAAUAAAUAAGCUAGGAAAAGCUGUUUCACAGUGUUCUUUUUUGUUUGUUUGUUUUUAAUGUCUAUGUAUUUAUUUUGAGGGAGAGAGAGAGGGAGAGCAAGAGAG